GCGCAGCAGGCGAGAAAACUUCACACUGUGCGAAAGCACGAUGAGGGAAUCCCAAGUGCUUGCACGUAAGUGUAAGCUGUUUCUCUGUCUAAAACGCAGAGAGAGUAAGGGCUGGGUAAGACGGGUGCCAGCCGCCGCGGUAAUACCUGCAGCUCAAGUGGUGACCGUUAUUAUUGGGCCUAAAACGUCCGUAGCCGGUUUAAUAAAUGCCUGGGUAAAUUGUGUAGCUUAACUAUACGAAUUCCGGGUAGACUGUUAAACUUGAGACCGGGAGAAGUUAGAGGUACUCCUGGGGUAGAGGUGAAAAGUUCUGUAAUCCGUAGGGGGACCACCAGUGGCGAAGGCGUCUAACUAGAACGGGUCUGACGGUGAGGGACGAAGCCCUGGGGCGCAAACGGGAUUA
rnacentral:rRNA from 1 species